rnacentral:rRNA from 1 species
CGGAAAACUGGGGAUAAUAUUAGAUAUAUAACAGAUACUGGAAUGUUCUUUUAUCCAAAGCUUUUGCGCCUGAGGAUGGGCCUGCGUCCGAUGAGGUUGUUGGUGGGGUAAUGGCCCACCAAGCCUGCGCUCGGUACGGGCAGUGAGAGCUGAAGCCCGGAGUUGGGGACUGAGACAAGGCCCCAGGCCCUACGGGGCGCAGCAGGCGCGAAACCUCUGCAAUGCGGGAAACCGUGACAGGGGGAUCCCAAGUGCUCAUGCAUUGCAUGGGCUGUGCUUUGGUCUAAGUAACCAGAGGAGUAAGGGCUGGGCAAGACCGGUGACAGCCGCCGCGGUAACA